GGCAGCAUGGUGUAAUGGUUUGAGUGUUGGACUAGGACACUCAGAGGCCAGGGUUCGAAUCCUGGCUCAGCCA